rnacentral:tRNA from 1 species
GUCCCGGGCACCCUAUACGGGUGCUCACUACAAAUUUGCACUUUGUGCUCGCUCCGGA